GGGGAUUUAACUCGUUGCACAGUGCCUGCCUGGCAAGCAGGAGGGUCUGAGUUCGAUCCCUGGUACCCCCU
rnacentral:tRNA from 1 species